CACAAUUAGAAUUUCUGAGCUAAAAUAAUGUGAUUUCCCAAUUGCACAAUUUAGUCAGUUACUUAAAGGAGAGGAUAACCACUGUUGCAACCUGAAUUAGUAACCUGGAAGAUCAAUAAAGAAAUAAUGGACACAGCAUAAAUAUAAAAUGACAGUUAUCAUAUGAGAAACAUAUCCAGUAGACCUAAAUUGCAAAAACUAGAAGUUCCACAAGGAGGAGAAAAUUGCUGAUGGAAGGAAAUAGUUAAAUAACAGAAGAAACUUCCUCUGAAAUGAAGCAAUACUUAAACCUGAACACUGAAAAAGGGCAUGGACUAAAAGGCAGGGUUAAUGUAUACAAACACACACCAAGGCAUAUCCCGGUUGGAAAAAAAAAGUCAAAAAAGAAGAGAUAAACUACAAAAGAAAGUCAAAAAUAGCUUAGAAGUAUUAAAUUAUCUUAGCAAAUCUUCAGUGUUGGAAAGUCAAGGAAACGAGUUACAUCAUCUUUACAAAUGACAGAGAAAACGUCUGUCUGAAUAGAAAAAUAAACAUAAAUAAAAUUUUAAA
rnacentral:lncRNA from 1 species